CAAAGGGCACAAAAUCUGCCGCCAGAAACAAAAAGGGGCAAAAAAAAAAAAAAAACGAACAAGAGAAGGAAGAAGAAGAAAGUGCCAUGGGCGAUCUACUCUCAUGGCUAUUCUCCUUCUUCCUUCUCGUAGCUGUUCUUGGUACUAUCCUAUACCAGCUCAUGUGCUUGGCAGAUCUUGAAUAUGAUUAUGUCAACCCUUAUGAUUCAGCAUCUCGGAUUAAUAGAGUAGUGGUGCCAGAAUUUGCUCUUCAAGGAGCAUUGUGCUUCCUACAUCUUGUGACAGGGCAUUGGUUGAUGUUUCUGAUAUGUCUGCCAUACUUAUAUUAUAACAUUAAAGUCUAUACUGAUCGCUGCCACUUGGUGGAUGUAACUGAGAUUUUCAAUCAGCUUCCGUGGGAUAAGAAGGUUCGGUUGUAUAAGCUUGGAUACCUUGUGAUACUUCUUGCCUUUUCGAUAUUCUGGAUGGUUUGGAGCAUUGUGGAUGAUGAAGUAUGAGGAAUUGCCCCUUUCAUGAAAGCACCAGUCCGCAGGAAUCUUCUACAGACAGUCUCGAUCAGAUGAAUAUUCUUCUCAGGCAGAACGGAAAUUUGGGAACAAAGUUUAUUUGAUCGAAUGAAGAAAUUGGGAUUUCCCAGGCACUAGCACGGUGGAGCUGGCCUGUUGACAUCUAUCAGUUUACUCAGUUGAUGGUGCCAUAAACAGAUUGUCGUUGAUGGCUUUACGGAAUUAAUCUUAUCUAAAGGAAGUGUUGGAAGUCCUCAACUGACUGGGAAGCAUACACUUUCUGAUGCUUGAGUUGCAUCUCUUUUUUUCUUUCUUUCUUUCUUUUUGUUAGGUUUAACUUUAUGAUGCCCUUUAAGCAUGCAAUGUUUUGGGCAAUAGGCAUAUAGUUGAACUUGUAUAAAUCAGGAUAGUCAUUGCGAUUUUAUAUAUCAUAAUGUGUUAGCAUAUGAUUUACUGAAUGUACUAGUUUCCAGUGUAAAUCAAUUUUUAGUAGAAUGACUUGCCUCUGGGGUACUAUG